rnacentral:tRNA from 1 species
GGUUAAUUUUUUUAGUUUUGAAAACUUUUUUUUGGUAUGUCCUUUUAACUUUUU